rnacentral:lncRNA from 1 species
AGCGCUGGGCAUGGGAUUGAAGUUCAGUAAAACAUAAACAAAGACGUCUCUGCAUCUUCUAUAUUAAACAUGUUUGAAAGUUAAAACUGCAGCCUUCAGCAAGUGCACAGAUAUUGCAAUUUGGUAACACUUUACUUGACGCUUAUCUCUAACAUAUUAUAAAUAUAUGUAUAAUGCGUUAUAAUCACGUUAUAGCACUGUAUAACAUUAUAAAGCAUGUUAUCAUGACUUACAAGGUCAGGUAUUAUAAUGUGUUAUUCUUAUUGUUAGAAAGCCUAAUAAUUAAUGAGUGUUUAUAAUGAUAAUUUAUAAGCAAAUUAUAAUGCAUUAUGAAUAUAUGUAUAAUGCAUUAUAUAUGUAGGUCAUGAUAAAAUGCUUUAUAAUGUGUUAUAAAUAUAAAUAUAUUUAUAAUGCGUUAUAGAGAGAGGCGUCAAGUAAAUUGUUACCUGUAACUUCACAGAAAGUAUUUUUGUAUGCCUCAUCUAACUGUGAUAUCCUCUAAAAAUCACAUGUUGUCCUAUUUGUUGACCAUUACUUGCAAAGGGGUAAGGACAAGGACAAAUGUUUAGACCCAAAUAAUAAAGAAAUAUAUAUAUAUAUUAUAAAGGAAACUCAGAGAUUUAACACAGAACUUCAAAUAUUUCUUCAAAAAGAUUCUAAUUUCUCUCCAUAACUAUCUUUCACCUUCAGGUAACAUUUAAAUAAGUCCUGUUAAGGAGAGAUAAUCUAGUUUCAGUAUUCACUCAUCUCAUCACAUAUUCUCAAUACGGUGCUAAGUGCUCACUCAGGAAAAUGUGGAGUAUGGAGCAGAGAAAUUUAAUGGAAACUCACAGACACUAAGAGUCAUCACAUUUUAAAUUUGCACAGCAGUUUUAAAGCUGCUUUGGCUUUCAGAUUCUUGCAUACAGUCACUUUUCAUAAUGGAGCCAUUCAGAGCUCAAAAAAGGCUACAGAAUAACUUAAGUGUACACAGUAAAACAGGAUAUCCAACAAUGCCAGAGAUGCAUAACAGAGGAUCCUGCUCUUUUGAUCAUUGAGAGUGGACUUUUCCUCCCUCCUGCGCCAGUUCAGUUUUAGUGUGGCUUUGUCCCUUAGAUCAAAUUCAUUUACUCCUCUCAACAUGCAGCUGUGUGCAUGAAUACCCAGUGCUUCCCAUUGCUCCCCUUUCUUCAUGCACACAUCAGUAGAGCCCACUCUUACACUUGUCAUUAAACCCCUGUCAAGUUGCUUUAAAGUAUGAGACAGGAAUAAGAGGGAUUUAAGAUUUACUUUCUGCUGAAGACCCCCUCUUCUACAUGAGUGAACAGACAUACAUAUUCAUACAUAUCCCUGCACUCCUAGAUUCCUUUGAGGAAAUGUCUGGAUAAGAAUUAAACAUCCCUUCAAGUGAGCACUAGACAAUUAAUCAGUUACCCUGAGAGAUAACAGAAGUAUCUUGGCAUUUUCAUCACACCAUCUAUUUUACAUCGCGCAGGAACCAAACUUCACAAUGGCGUCAGGUCUGAUUCACAGAGAUGGACAUGUCCAUUAUCUUCUUCAGCAGGCAGAGUACAGACAAUCAAAAUGGCAAUCCAGCUCUGGGUACUUGUAUCCCUGCCAGUGUCUACCUAUUCUUGUCCCCGGAUUGUUUUCCAAAUCUUUUUAUACCAUCAUUUCUGACUUCGUUUUGACUGCUUAGUGCUGGAACAAAUGGAGCCUCACUCCAAAGACACGGGUCAUUGAGGUGGCUCAGCCCUCCUCACUUUAUCUGCCACUGCUGGACAGCUAACAGACAUAAAAUAACACUUUGUUUUAUUUCAGUCCAGACCAGCUGGGGUCGAAUCGAGGCCGCCCUCUGUUCCACUCCACUUCAGACCCUGGCGUGUAGCACUCCGCUCCUGCCACUCCCAAAUCUUGCAUCUGACACUGUGGUAAUUGGGAUCCUUAAGAUUUAGAUCCAAUUGCUCUUCAUCAAGAAACUCCCUUUUGUGACAAUCACAAGCAAAGAUUUAUACAAAUGGAGAAAAAAGCCAUUACUGACUAGUACAUAGAUGGCCUGCCAGACAGGUUUUUCAGUUGUGCUCAGUUUUACCCUUAAAGCUCAGAUUUGUCAGAUAUUUACAGCUCUGCAGUUUGCCCACUCUACCCCAAACUCCACUUGUAUACACCUAGAACUUAAAGCAAAACCCUACCUAAGGGCCACGUCUCCUAUGAUCUCUGAACUCCAAACGAUGACUCUGCCUUAACUAAGUUUAAAGAAUCAAGUUGAAAAUAAACUUUUCAACACUUUUGGGAGAAGCGUUAAGAGCUGUCUCCUCUAAAAAUCACAGUACCUCACAGACUCCUCUAUUGCAAGUACAAAGUCUCCAGACUCAACCCAGUUAAAUGGAUGAGUAAUGUCGCAAAUGCUCCCAGGCACUGUGCAACCUGACCUGCAUGUGUUGGUCAGGCUCCAGAUUAUCUAUUUAUUGGCAAUCUUUUUAAAGGCUAUCUCUGACAUUUGUGGUUUGAGUAUUCAUCCAUCACUGCAUUUGGCUUUUUUUCCCCCCAGACAAACUUGUCACCAUGGCUGUGUGAGAUAACUGUGUCUUCACCUUUUAAAUUGCUCACCUCUUCUAAUGGAAAUGCCAACCUAAUUAAAAAACCUCAAAAAUUUGGUUUCUAUUCAUCAUAAUGAUAAUAAUCAUAUAUAUCAUAUAUAUCAAACCUGUAUUUAUUUUUUAUACUACCAGCUAGCAGGAAAAAAAAAGGUUGUAAGAUGGUAGGGGGAGGUCCCACUCUCCUUCGCCUCUGAUUGGCUAGAAGUGCUGGGCUCUGAUUGGUUAUGGCUGUGAAACUUCAUCGUCUGUCAGGUUCAGGUUAGGGUAAGGGUAAGGAUUAGGAUUAGGAUGAGGGUUAGGGUCAGAGUUAGGGUUAGGGUUAGGGUUAGGAUGAGGGUUAGGGUUAGGGUCAGAGUUAGGUUUAGGAUUAGGAUGAGGGUUAGGGUUAGGGUUAGGGUUAGGGUCAGAGUUAGGGUUAGGAUUAGGAUGAGGGUUAGGGUUAGAGUUAGGGUUAGGGUUAGGAUUAGGAUGAGGGUUAGGGUUAGGAUCAGGGUAAGGGUUAGGGCUAGGGUUAGGGUUAGGGUUAGGAUUAGGAUGAGGGUUAGGGUUAGGAUUAGGAUGAGGGUUAGGGUUAGGAUUAGGAUGAGGGUUAGGGUUGGACUAGGGUUAGGGUGAGGGUUAGGGUUAGGGUUAGGAUGAGGGUUAGGGUUAGGGUUAGGAGAUUCAAAAGUGUGAUAAUGUUCUGUAAUGUUCUGUUCGAAGUACAGAGCCUACAGCCCACGUUUGGCUUGAGUGUUUAAUGAGAUUUCCAGCUUUUCUAGCCAAUCAGAGGCGAAGGAGGCGGGACUUUCCCCUACCGUCCUUUAAAAAAGCAUAUCGCUACCAGCUAGGCUGUGUUGCCCUUUAAGAGGCAAAUAGGUCGAGUCUGGUUCAGGUGGAAGGGAGGUUUAUGAAGAGGCAUGAGCGUAAUGACAUUAGAGGACAAAAAAGGGAAAACAUUGACCAUAAAUAUGCUGAAAUUUGUUGAGCUUUGACAAAAACCUAAGUUUUAAAAAGUUAAAAAUAUUCCCUCAGAUUUCCUAAGAGCACAGAGGGAGACAUUUCGGUUAACAGUAAACAGAGAUUAAACACUCAUCUGGUCUUCUGAUGUUUUUUGUCUUCAAAAUUUGCUGAAUUUUUGGAAGCCUGUAAACAAUAGAACAGUUUGUUCCAUUUUGGGUCACAUUUAUCAUACAUUUCAGCACAUUCAGCUGAAGGAAACAGCACAAAAAACAGUCCAGGCCAAGAUACAUUUACAUGUCCUGCUCCUCUAAAACCACAGUUUAAAAAAAGUACAAUUGGGAUGUGACAAGGACUAAAGACAAGUGGUAAAUGGGGUUAAAAUUAAUAUUUAAAUAGACACAAACAGUGUGAAGGUUUUCUUAAAAAGGGUAAAUAAAACAGAAGAGGAAAUGCUGCUUGUAGUUUGUGUAAUUAACACUCACAGCGUCAUUCCUGCAGAGUCAUGAGGCAAAUCAAACUGUUUUACGCCUGAUUUCAGAGUAAGGAUACACCUUAAGGAUUCUGGGUAUUAUUGCCUUAGUAAAAUGAAAUUGUGCUUUUCAGUGUUUGGUUUUGACUCCGGGGACAAAAAACUGGCAAGCCCCAGGCCAUCAUGGAGGUCUUGACUGUUUAUAACACUGCAGCAGAUCAGCAGCAGAUUUUGCAAUCCGUCAACAGAAGUAUCUCAGAAUGAAGUCUUAAACGCAGAGGGGGAUGAAGCAACCAGGGAUGUGAAAACUAGACAGAUGAGAUCCGCUCUCCUGGUCCCAGCAGCAGUUAUCGGAUCUAAUUGCAAAGACAAAGCAGUAUAGUUAGGGCACAUACUUUACUUCUCUCAACUCCCUUACUGAUUUAUGGUUGUAGUGGCUGAUUUCAGAGCCGUGUUCAGCCAUUGUCACCAGCGUGUUGUGCAGCUUUUAUAUUCCAACUGUGAGGCAGUAUCAUCAUAACAACGAGGGCAGUUUUCUAUUAAAAAAAUGUACAAAAAAAUAUAUAAAGCAUAUUGAAUCCAACAUGAAACCAGAUGUCUCAUUUGUAUGAGUAAUGACUCCUUCAAGGCCGAAAUAAAACCCUCAAACACAGCAGAUUGAAAAGCCAAUUCCCUUUUUAUUUCAGCCUCUACAUGUCCUUGUGAAACCAGAAUGUCAUAACAUUUUAAUCAUACGUAAUAGAUUACUGUUCAGAGAGCAUCUGUUCACAUUGUGGGGCAUUUUUCUCUGGAGGUUGUGUUUGGACAAUAAACCUAACAACACAACCUGAUCAUCCUGACGCUCAUAUUUACAGAAAGUUUGGUUGAAGCUAUAAAUCAGGAAUGGCAUUUCUUCCUAGUGUGAACACAUCCCUCCAAAAAUCUGCCAAUUAGUUCCUGACCCGAGCCAGUCACAGCAGUGCAGAGGCGGGGGGUGGAGGUGUCUGGUUUGGUGUGUGUUAGCACUGCGCACACUUACAGAGUUGUGAUUUAGAAGACUGAUCAGAGAAGGUUGUGCUGGAAACGUUUUUAAUGUGUCUAAAAGCUGAAACCACUCUGUUCUGCAGUUUCUAAACAACCAAGCCAGAACGGCACUUUUUUUAGAUUUAGUCUAAGGAACACACAAAAGCAGAACAAGCUUUUAUCAAGGCAGCGUUUCACCUUCUAACAUGAUUUAAUACAACUAACACAGGCUGCUGGAUUGAUUCACUGAAUGAUUGAUUAAAUGUAUGAUUUAUGCAGUGAAAACAACGUCAUUCAUACUGUAAGUGUGGACCAACAUCUAGAAACAGCCCUCGUAUCAUAUUCAAUGAAAUUUUGAAAUGCUUGCACACUUAAAACACUCUAUAGAAUAAGAUUACAAAGUGUGUUUUCUGUAUGUGUGUGGUUCUCAGUUGUAAAGUCUAAUUAUAGCACAUGACACCCUUCAACAAGACAAAAAAAACAAGCUUCAGUGUGACAACCGCUGCAGUAUCAGCAGCAUCUGCCUCAGAGAACAACGGCCUCUGAUACUCAUCUCACUCCCGGUGCUCCACACUUCAAAGACGCCCAAAAUGCAACUCGGAGACACGGGGAAACGUCCUCCCCGCUGGAAGUCGAAACACGAAAAGCCACCAUGCUGGAAAUAGAAGCUGCUGCAGGCAAGAGUUUUCUCUUUCAAUCACAAGGCGUCAAUUAGCCUAAUGGGUGCAAAUGUUACACAACAUCUAAAGAAGGAAACAUAAAGCAAUAAAUCCUCUCUGGAGAGCUUUGACUUAUGUCUCAGCGAAUCAGGAGAUGUAAAUUCAGUGGAGUGACUGAGUCCAGCUUGCUGACAUUUCCACUUUCAUGCUUGGAUGCUGAUUUUCCGACAAAAAUAUCUGCAGUGGAUGAAAACCCUGGUGAGAACUUGCAAUAUAAGAGUGUGUUUACAUGCAGAACACACAGCUUUAGACUAUAUUGGUUAUGAUAAUGAAGGUUAACUUGAUUAUGAGACUCGUCAUUAUGUGCACUCUUGUGGCCCCAGCCAGCCGCACUUUGCACUCCAUGUAAAUUAGCCCUUUAUCCAAACACAAUAGUGUGGCAAAUAUAUGCAUGAAAUUUUGAAACAGACGGACCUCACACUCUCUAUUUGCUUCGACUAAUUAAUGCCCGAUUUGUAAAUAAACACCAAUCAGCCUCAUGUCAGCCAUGUGCUCUGCCAUCAUGUGCGUGAGUGAGUGACAGCAUGAAAAAAAAAAAGAAGAUAAAUAUAAACACAAUUUCUUCAAUUUGUUCAAAGUCUGUCACACACGAAUAGACGUCUUUGUGGUGUGCAAAUAGUAUAGGAUGAGCAGGACAUUUUAUAUGCCUUCACUCUUUCCUUCGGUUAUUUAUGGAGUAUUGACACAGCAGCAGCCAAACUGUAUUAAUUACACUGAUAGCUCGCGUGCAGCUAAGAAAGCUGUUGUAAUUAAAACUGUCACUGUGAACAAACAUUUGCAGCUCAUAGAUAAUUAAAAUGUUAACAGGUUUUUUCUUAGUGCUUCAUCAGGGCUUACUUAAGCAGCAUUUUGUGAACCCUUAUGUAAAUUGUUGGUCUAAGUGAGACAGGAAUCCAGGCAGGAAACAGCCUAUAAUUAUUUUUCAGGGUAGGCAUGAGCUUUGAAAAUAUGCUGUGAAAGAAAAGUCUGGACACAGCAGCUGAGCUGCUGGAUAGUAUAAUAAGGAUGUAUGGCCCGAUGCAUUUCUUUUCUUACAUCAGCAGUUCUGCCAUUUUGCUGAAGGAAAUAACCAAAAUUCCUGCAGAGCCUUGGGGGGAGGGAUAAGAAAAAUUUAACUUCAAAAAACAUUUUUUUCCUGCUCAACUAUCUCAUGGUUAACUUUCUCUAAACCUGAACCUCCUGCAGAACAUGUCAUCUGGCCGGUUGCAGCACACCAUAUUUUUUUUUUUUCACAUACAAUUCUUUUAUUAAAACCUUACCAGCAUUUUACAGAUGCCUUUAGAUUUAGUCGAGUAAAAGGUUACAAAGUAAAAAAAAUUCUUCUGAAAUUGCAGGAGAUUUGUUCCAAUCAUCAAAUGAUCAUCUCCCGUUAAAGUCACUAACAACAGUCUUUUCUGGGCGUCUUCGAGCUCCCUCGUCCCGUAGGUUCCUCUGGAUCCCUGCAGACGUCCGGCCGCCAUGGACCUUCCUGCUUUCCAGCUGCUUUAACAACAUGCAUUAGUCUCACAUUUUUAUCAGUUUUACAAAACUAAUGUUUACUUCAGAAGCGUUUCACUCUUUUUGCUUCAGUUGUUUAGAUUUCAACCCCCAGUUACUUAUCUCAGCUUCAUUGUUACAAAUGCUAUCACUGCCGUGCUUUCACUAUGGACCUGCUGAGUUAAGUUUUCUAUAAAUUUAACCAAGAUCAGUCCUUUAAAUAGAAGACAUAAUUUUUUCCCAUUAUCUUUGGAAGUGUAACCAUACAUCUGUACAUACUAUUGCUGAUGUAGUUAAUUGUCCCCUUCUGCAUCUCCCCCUAUUCCCUCUUUUAACCCAGUGCAGUAGCAGGAGAUGACCGUCUAACAUGAAAGUUAAGCUUAUUCCAUCUUAAUGUUGGAAAGAGCCUUGCAAUAACAUUUGUUGUAAACUGGCGCAAAUAUAGAUAGAUUGAUUGAUUGAUUGAUUGAAAAGAGAAUUUGUCAGCAAUAUCACUAACUGCUCAACUUUGAGUCCCUCUUAACCGUCAGUACAAUGGCAGCUCUACAGC